GCAGUGGUGGUUCAGUGGUAGAAUUCUCUCCUUCCAUGCAGGAGACCUGGGCUCAAUUCCCAACCAAUGCA
rfam:Loxodonta africana unplaced genomic scaffold scaffold_96, whole genome shotgun sequence.